rnacentral:rRNA from 1 species
GAUGAACGCUGGCGGCAUGCCUUACACAUGCAAGUCGAACGGCAGCAUGACCUAGCUUGCUAGGUUGAUGGCGAGUGGCGCACGGGGGAGUAAUGCAUCUGAACGUGCCUUUUAGUGGAGGAUAACGUAGCGAAAGUUACGCUAAUACCGCAUAUUCUCUGAGGAGGAAAGCAGGGGACCUUCGGGCCUUGCGCUAGAAGAGCGGCCGAUGUCGGAUUAGCUAGUUGGGGAGGUAAGGGCUCACCAAGGCAACGAUCCGUAGCGUGUCUGAGAGGAUGAUCCGCCACACUGGAACUGAGACACGGCCCAGACUCCUACGGGAGGCAGCAGUGGGGAAUUUUGGACAAUGGGCGCAAGCCUGAUCCAGCCAUGCCGCGUGAGUGAAGAAGGCCUUCGGGUUGUAAAGCUCUUUCGGCUGGGAAGAAAUCGCACCCUCUAAUACAGGGUGUGGAUGACGGUACCAGCAUAAGAAGCACCGGCUAACUACGUG